UGGAUUGUGGCUCAGUGGUAGAGCACUUGUCUAGCAUGCAUGAAGCACUGGGUUCGAUUCCCAGCACCACAU
rnacentral:tRNA from 1 species